rnacentral:rRNA from 1 species
UGGGGAAUAUUGCACAAUGGGGGAAACCCGUGAUGCAGCAACGCCGCGUGAGUGAAGAAGUAUUUCGGUAUGUAAAGCUCUAUCAGCAGGGAAGAAGGCAGACGGUACCUGACUAAGAAGCCCCGGCUAACUACGUGCC